rnacentral:lncRNA from 1 species
UGCAUGUAUGUGUGUGUUUUUAGCAAUUGUUAAUUAAGGAGUAAAAAAGUGAACCACUCGAUCCUUAACAAGUUAAUUUCAGUCGCAUAUGAAAGUUAUGCGACUGAAUUUUACAAUCAGCUAUCUAAAAAUAAAUUCACGUGCAAGGCUUCAAAAUAUAACACGACAGCAAACGAAGGAGGCCAUCGAAGAAAUAGAAUAAUUCCCUCAAAAGAACAACUAAAGUAGUUUUAAAUUAGAUUGUCAUUAUUCAACAUUAUGUAUAUACAUAUAUUAAAGUUCCAAUUUCCAAAAGGCACUUUAAUUAGGUACUUUAUAUGUGGUUCCCCAAGUUUUGUUGUAGCUGACGUCAUCUUUGCUUUGGCCUUCUUUCCACCUUUUUUCAACAGUCUAUUACCUAAUUUUGUUCCAUGUUUUCUUGCGUAGAGCUGCAAAAUGUAUUAGAUACGUAAUUAAUUAAUUUAAUUAAUGAGGUGAUGAAAUAAAACACGACCAACAAAUCUGAGUCAAACCCAAAUUAUGAUGGGCCAACUUCAAAUUCAUUUUCUACACUACCAUUAGGCCCAUCUUUUGACUAAUAUAUUUACUGACCCAAAGCCCACUAAUGUACAAGCCCAUUUUCAAAUUUGGUAGAGAGAGAUCUAGAGAGAGAGAGAGAGAGAGAUCUAGAGAGAGAGAGAGAGAGAGAGAGAGAGAGAUUCCUCAAAUCUUGGAUACAUUUAAUAAUCUUUCAAAUUAGUUAAUGUCCAUUGAAUAAAUGUCAUGAUUCCUCAAAAUUGGUCCAGGCCCAGAACUUGUUGUACGGUCCGUUAAGGCCAUCCCUAUUACCUGUCAUCUAAGAUGCACCCAAAUUUCCGUGCACGAGUGUUUUCGCGUUUCGGAAACCAAAACUCCAUUACAUCCGCCCGCAACAACAUUUUGUGGUUGUUUUUGUAAAUAUCUAGAAUUUUUGGGGAUAUAUAUAAUUAAGGCUUUCCCGUGUCCGUUUCGCCGUGUCGACAUUCUUGUAUCCGGGCUAGUGGCUACAUAGC